AAAAUCGAUUACGAACGAUUUCAUCGAUAUGAUUUCGUUAUUUGAAAACUGUUCUUAUUUUGCUCUUGGAAAGAAUAAAGGACUUACAUGGGAUAUUCGGUCUAUUAGAAAUGAUUUUUUCGCACACAAUUCCUCUUAUACAAUAAACAACAAAGAUAUAUUAUAUUGUCUGGAUAAGUUUUCUACUCUUUUGAAUCAACCACUGUUUAGGACGGACAAGAAGUGCAAUGAAAUGCAUAAACUUGUAUGUGAUCUAAAGAAUUCUAGACAACGAGUUCAAAACAACAAUACUUCAGAAACUAAAUCGAUAAUGCAACCUUUUCUACGACUUUAUCAUAAUGAACCAAUGAUGGUUGUGGAGAAGGCCAAUGAGGUAAUAUCAAACAUAAAAAACAAACAAUUAACACGGCCAUUGCACAGAAGAUAUGACCUAAUACUGCUAGUGCUCUUGUUAUGUUACCAUUAUAUUGAAAUGCCUUGGAAUACUAACAACGGUUUCAAAUCACCGAAAGGAUGCAACACUAUGGACUUUACAUUUCCAUGGAAAAGUGACUUGAACUUUAAAUCCUAUAUCAGCGUUCGGGAGGAUUUUGUAGGAAGAGAGUGGAUGACUGAAGACAUAGAAUACGAACUACUACAUACUGAUCGCAGAGGACUAUUGGUUGCUGCAGAAUUAGGCUUUGUCCAGGAAUAUUUGUACGCAAUAUGGCAGGGAAACUUGCAGAACAAUUUCCUGAAUUUGGAAAUAUUCUGUACACAGAAAAAAUGGCAUCCGAUUAUCUAACCAAUUCAAAAUGCAUCCAGGAUCCAAACGGAUGUUUUGAACACACUAUUUUGUAUCCACUUCAGAAUUUAAACUCAAGUCAAGAUAUUAUUAUUUUCAUUGUUGACGCCUUAGAUGAGUGUAUUGAAAUUGGACCUAGAAAUAUUUUUUCCCUGUUAAAUAAAAAAAUUCAUCUUUUGCCCCAAAACAUAAAGUUUCUAUUUACUUCUCGAAAUAUAUCAGCUAUCAGAGUAAACCUUCCACCGGGAAUUUCUGUUUAUCAGACAAAUUUGUUUCGGGAAAAAAGUUUAGGCGAUAUAAAAAAAUAUAUAAGUCAAAGGCUUGAAAAUAAUUCUGUCAAUGAGCAAUAUCAAACAUUGUUGUCUAGUUCAAACUUAGACGAAACUUUAGAGAAACUUGCAGACCUUGUAGAUGGAAAUUUUCUGUUUUUAACUAAUGCAUUUGAUUUUUGGGUAAGAGUUGGCAAUAUUAACGCAUUUCCCGAUAAAAUGGAACAUAUUUAUCGUUUAAAUGUUUUACGGAUAUUUGAUAAGUCAGAAAAUAUAUUCGAAGAUGUGCGAUCCAUAAUAGAAAUACUAUGUGCAUCCCAAGGAUCAAUUCAGGAAUCUUUACUGUAUGAAAUUUUGAAUGUAUAUGACUUUAAGAGAAGGAAGUAUUUUUCUCGAUUACUGUCGAAUGAAUUAUCUCAUUUUAUACAAAGAUCAUCUGAGAACGUAGUUUUUACUAACAAACGGAUUGCUGAUUUUUUCUCAAGACAAGAUAAUUUGGAAAAUGACUUUUACAUUUUCCAACAAAAUGGGCAUAGACUGGUUGCGAAAUUUUUCUUAAAACGUCUUGAGAAUCAACAUGCUAAUAUAAGUGUACCAUUGUUAAAGGACACAUUUCGACACGUGGCUCUUUCUGAAGACAAAACUUUAAAAAACAGAUUGAUUAAUGAGAUUUCUAGUCAUACAAAUGAAAGUAAGUACUCUUUUCUGAUGCAUUACAUUGCGUCAUCUUUGAAUUCUUACGACGCUAUGUCAAUAGCGAUUCUUUCGAUGUCUCAUUCAAAUAUUGACAUGCAGGACCCAGGGAAAUCAACGGCAUCCUUUGUUGCUGCUACCUACGGCAAUGAAAAUGCAUUGGCCGCUUUGAUUGAACGUGGAGCAGAUGUAAACUACCAAAGACCACCACCUGUCUUUAUUCAACUUAAAAAUUUUCAGGACCCUAUACACUUUUGCAAAUAUAAUACAUUUUGUGGAUACAAUCUUGCAAACAUUGCCUCUCAAAAUGGUCACGCAAAUGUUUUAAAAUUUCUUAUUCAGUAUAAUAUCAAUCUUUGUCAUGAGACCUUUCUGGGUCUUAAUUCGUUCCAUCUUGCUUCUGAACAUGAUCACGUGCACAUACUUCGCAUUCUUAUGUCAUCGAAAUUGUGUAAUUGGACUUCAAGCUUUGAUCAGGCUCUGUAUCUCAGUGCAAAAAAUGGCCAUGUCCGUGUUGUUAAGUAUCUACUCUCUAUAAAUGCUACUGACAAUUGUGUACCUUG
rnacentral:sRNA from 1 species